AACGGUCUAUACCUGCGGUACCUGCGGAAGGAUCAUUACCGAGUUUACAAAACUCCCAAACCCUUUGUGAACCUUACCUAUCGUUGCUUCGGCGGGACCGCCCCGGCGCCCUCGCGGCCCGGAACCAGGCGCCCGCCGGAGGCCCCAAACCCUCAUGUCUUUAGUGGUUUCCUCCUCUGAGUGACAUAAACAAAUAAAGUAAAAACUUUUAACAAUGGAUCUCUAGAUCGGAAGAGCACA
rnacentral:misc_RNA from 1 species